GCGGCAAAAGCUCAAAUUUGAAAUCUGGUACCUUCGGUGCCCGAGUUGUAAUUUGGAGAGGGCAACUUUGGGGCCGUUCCUUGUCUAUGUUCCUUGGAACAGGACGUCAUAGAGGGUGAGAAUCCCGUGUGGCGAGGAGUGCGGUUCUUUGUAAAGUGCCUUCGAAGAGUCGAGUUGUUUGGGAAUGCAGCUCUAAGUGGGUGGUAAAUUCCAUCUAAAGCUAAAUAUUGGCGAGAGACCGAUAGCGAACAAGUACAGUGAUGGAAAGAUGAAAAGAACUUUGAAAAGAGAGUGAAAAAGUACGUGAAAUUGUUGAAAGGGAAGGGCAUUUGAUCAGACAUGGUGUUUUGUGCCCUCUGCUCCUUGUGGGUGGGGGAAUCUCGCAUUUCACUGGGCCAGCAUCAGUUUUGGUGGCAGGAUAAAUCCAUAGGAAUGUAGCUUGCCUCGGUAAGUAUUAUAGCCUGUGGGAAUACUGCCAGCUGGGACUGAGGACUGCGACGUAAGUCAAGGAUGCUGGCAUAAUGGUUAUAUGCCGCCCGUCUU
rnacentral:rRNA from 1 species